ensembl:lncRNA
UCAGCAAUAGGGUUUCAUUCAUAAAUACUUAGUCCCAAAGAUUUAAAUGAAAGGGUUCCGUGAGAAUUUUCGGGUUAUUGCCAUAGAACAAACCGUUUUGAUGUAUGGACCAAAUGAUUUGUUUAGGCAUGGCUCCAGCCUGUGCCGCUGACCUCCGGCCGCCGGGCCCACCCCAGGGGAGCCCUGUAGCUUAGGGCCCAGCCCGCCCGGCCGGGGCCCAGAGAGAGAGGGGAGGAGAAGGAGACCACGAAGAAGAAGAGGAAGACGAAAACGAAGAGGAAGAAGAGGAGGAAGGCGUGUCGGGGCGAGGGGGCUGAAGCCAGCCAGGCUGAGGACGAUGCUGCUGCCCUGGCUUCUGAUGCUGCUACUGCAAGAGAGCUGAGGAGCCGAGACACAGCGAAGAAGAUCCCACACACACAAACAGGCGUACAGAGCUCCUUCACACGGCCCUCCGCCAGGGUAAGACACUAGCAGGGGGACCCUUUUGCUGGCCUGGACCAUGAGCAAUGAGUCUGCCGUCUGGAACAUCCUACCAGAAAACUCCACA